rnacentral:rRNA from 1 species
AACACAUGCAAGUCGAGCGGUAAGGCCCUUCGGGGUACACGAGCGGCGAACGGGUGAGUAACACGUGGGUGAUCUGCCUUGCACUCUGGGAUAAGCCUGGGAAACUGGGUCUAAUACCGGAUAUGACCACUUCUCGCAUGGGNUGUGGUGGAAAGAUUUAUCGGUGCAAGAUGAGCCCGCGGCCUAUCAGCUUGUUGGUGGGGUAAUGGCCUACCAAGGCGACGACGGGUAGCCGGCCUGAGAGGGCGACCGGCCACACUGGGACUGAGACACGGCCCAGACUCCUACGGGAGGCAGCAGUGGGGAAUAUUGCACAAUGGGCGAAAGCCUGAUGCAGCGACGCCGCGUGAGGGAUGACGGCCUUCGGGUUGUAAACCUCUUUCGACUCCGACGAAGCGAAAGUGACGGUAGGAGUAUAAGAAGCACCGGCCAACUACGUGCCAGCAGCCGCGGUAAUACGUAGGGUGCGAGCGUUGUCCGGAAUUACUGGGCGU